rnacentral:rRNA from 1 species
CCCCCUACGGGAGGCAGCAGUGAGGAAUAUUGGUCAAUGGCCGAGAGGCUGAACCAGCCAAGUCGCGUGAGGGAAGACGGCCCUACGGGUUGUAAACCUCUUUUGUCGGGGAGCAAAGCGAGUCACGUGUGACUCAUUGAGAGUACCCGAAGAAAAAGCAUCGGCUAACUCCGUGCCAGCAGCCGCGGUAAUACGGAGGAUGCGAGCGUUAUCCGGAUUUAUUGGGUUUAAAGGGUGCGUAGGCGGUCCGUUAAGUCAGCGGUAAAAUUGCGGGGCUCAACCCUGUCGAGCCGUUGAAACUGGCG